rnacentral:rRNA from 1 species
AUUGAACGCUGGCGGCAUGCUUUACACAUGCAAGUCGAACGAGUGGCGGACGGGUGAGUAAUCUCUCGGAACGUGCCCAGUAGCGGGGGAUAACUACUCGAAAGAGUGGCUAAUACCGCAGACCAUCGGAGGGGCGGAUAUGGGAUUAGGUAGUUGGUGGGGUAAUGGCUCACCAAGGCAACGAUCCGUAGCUGGUUUGAGAGGACGACCAGCCACACUGGAACUGAGACACGGCCCAGACUCCUACGGGAGGCAGCAGUGGGGAAUUUUGGACAAUGGGGGAAACCCUGAUCCAGCCAUCCCGCGUGUAUGAGAAGGCCUUCGGGUUGUAAAGUACUUUUGGCAGGGAAGCGGUAGCUUCCUAAUAAGCACCGGCUAACUACGUGCCAGCAGCCGCGGUACUAC